UUUUUAAGAUCGCUUGCGCAAAAGACAACAGAGAAAACUGAACUUACAAGAAAACAACGGUUGGUGCUGAAACAAUAGAUAACUCAAACAAAUGAAUUUCCAGCAAUCAAAAGCAUCUAAAAGCUGAUAUUUAUAUAAACCAAACUUCCAUAUGAGUAUUUAUUAAAAAAAAAAUCCCAUAUUAGUAGAUAAAUCCACAGAACUCAUAAAUUUUUUCUGCCCCAUAAAGUAAAAGGACAAGAUCUUUCACUUCUUUUGUCGCGGGGUUUGAUGAAGAGCAUUCAUUUCUUCCAAAAAAAUUCUUCUUGACCAGCCCUCGAGGCGGCGGAAGGUUAGAGAAGUGAGAGUUGGGGCAGCUGUUUGCUUGGCUAGAGUUUUUCUUGGUUGGGUCACUCAUUUCUUGACUCUCUAGCUAAUUCUUGUGGAAGUAAAAGAGUG
rnacentral:misc_RNA from 1 species